GACGAACGCUGGCGGCGUGCUUAACACAUGCAAGUCGAACGGAAAGGCCCUGCUUUUGUGGGGUGCUCGAGUGGCGAACGGGUGAGUAACACGUGAGUAACCUGCCCUUGACUUUGGGAUAACUUCAGGAAACUGGGGCUAAUACCGGAUAGGAGCUCCUGCUGCAUGGUGGGGGGUGGAAAGUUUCGGCGGGUGGGGAUGGACUCGCGGCUUAUCAGCUAGUUGGUGGGGUAGUGGCUUACCAAGGCUUUGACGGGUAGCCGGCCUGAGAGGGUGACCGGCCACAUUAGGACUGAGAGACGGACCAGACGCCUACGGGGGGCAGCAGUGGGGAAUAUGGCACAAUGGGCCGAAGCCUGAGGCAGAAGCGCCGCGUGCGUGAUGACGGCCUGCGGGUUGUAAACCGCUUUCGCCUGUGACGAAGCGUGAGUGACGGUAAUGAGUAAAGAAGCACCGGCUAACUACGUG
rnacentral:rRNA from 1 species